UCGACUGUGUAUAUUUACGGUAAUAAGACUAUGAAAACUAAUUAAAUUAAAAAGAAAAAGGAAAAUACCAUUGGACCGGAUAUGUAGGAUACCAUUAUUGGGCCAGAUACUACAAUAAGGCCAGCCAUUUUCCUUUAUCUUUUCCUUUAUCAAUGCUAACACCCUCCCUCAAGCUAGAGGGGAACACAUACUGAGCUUGAGAUGAAGUUG
rnacentral:lncRNA from 1 species